GCUUGUCUCAAAGAUUAAGCCAUGCAUGUCUAAGUAUAAACGACUUUAUACAGUGAAACUGCGAAUGGCUCAUUAAAUCAGUUAUAGUUUAUUUGAUAAUACCUUACUACUUGGAUAACCGUGGUAAUUCUAGAGCUAAUACAUGCUACACAACCCGACUUCUGGAAGGGUGGUACUGAUUAGAUAAGAAACCUUCCCCUUUGGGUUGCGUGCCGAGUCACAAUAACUGCUCGAAUCGCAUGGCUUCACGCCGGCGAUGGUUCAUUCAAAUUUCUGCCCUAUCAGCUUUCGAUGGUAGGAUCGAGGCCUACCAUGGCGUUUACGGGUAACGGAGAAUUAGGGUUCGAUUCCGGAGAGGGAGCCUGAGAGAUGGCUACCACAUCCAAGGAAGGCAGCAGG
rnacentral:rRNA from 1 species